UACGGAGGGUGCAAGCGUUGUUCGGAAUUAUUGGGCGGAAAGGGCAGGUAGGUGGUCUUGAUAGUCUACUGUGAAAUCCCCGGGCUUAACUCGGGAAGUGCGGUGGAUACUCCAAGACUAGAGUGCUGGAGGGGUGCGUGGAAUUCCUGGUGUAGCGGUGAAAUGCGCAGAUAUCAGGAGGAACACCAAUGGCGAAGGCAGCUCGCUGGGACGGUACUGACGCUGAGGCGCGAAAGCGUGGGGAGCAAACAGG
rnacentral:rRNA from 1 species